CAGUCAUAUUACGUUGGAACACCGCUUCUCGUACGAUCACUGAAGUUAAGCAACGUCGAGCCUGGUCAGUACCUAAAUGGGUAACCGCUUGGGAAUACCAGAUGCUGGA